AUUGAACGCUGGCGGCAUGCCUUACACAUGCAAGUCGAACGGUAACAGGUCUUCGGAUGCUGACGAGUGGCGAACGGGUGAGUAAUACAUCGGAACGUGCCUAGUAGUGGGGGAUAACUACUCGAAAGAGUGGCUAAUACCGCAUGAGAUCUACGGAUGAAAGCAGGGGAUCGCAAGCCCUUGUGCUACUAGAGCGGCAGAUGGCAGAUUAGGUAGUUGGUGGGAUAAAAGCUUACCAAGCUGACGAUCUGUAGCUGGUCUGAGAGGACGAUCAGCCACACUGGGACUGAGACACGGCCCAGACUCCUACGGGAGGCAGCAGUGGGGAAUUUUGGACAAUGGGCGCAAGCCUGAUCCAGCAAUGCCGCGUGCAGGAUGAAGGCCUUCGGGUUGUAAACUGCUUUUGUACGGAACGAAAAGCCCCGGGUUAAUACCCUGGGGUCAUGACAGUACCGUAAGAAUAAGCACCGGCUAACUACGUGCCAGCCGCCGCAGUAA
rnacentral:rRNA from 1 species